CAUAGCAUGCCUGCUAGCAGGCAUGCUGUGUAAUUAUUUGCCGGGCAAACAGACAUGAGCAUGAAGGACGAAAGUCCGGAAUGCGAAUGCCUGUGGCGAUUUUGGGAGUUCGAAGAACGGAGAAAUCG
rnacentral:sRNA from 1 species